rnacentral:pre_miRNA from 1 species
UUCUGUAGUAGAAGAUAAGAUUGUGGCCAGAGAAUUAAUGGCUUGUCUCUUAUCAUUCUGCUUCUCCC